rnacentral:rRNA from 1 species
GAUGAACGCUGGCGGCGUGCCUAAUACAUGCAAGUCGAGCGAACGGACGAGAAGCUUGCUUCUCUGAUGUUAGCGGCGGACGGGUGAGUAACACGUGGAUAACCUACCUAUAAGACUGGGAUAACUUCGGGAAACCGUAGCUAAUACCGGAUAAUAAUUUGAACCGCAUGGUUCAAAAGUGAAAGACGUUCUUGCUGUCACUUAUAGAUGGAUCCGCGCUGCAUUAGCUAGUUGGUAAGGUAACGGCUUAACAAGGCAACGAUGGAUAGCCGUCAUGAGGGGGACGACGGCUACACUGGCACUGAGACACGGCCCAGACUCCGGGGGUAGGACGCGGUAGGGACUCUUACGCAAUGCAGGAAAGCCUGACGGAGCAACGCCGCGUGAGUGAUGAAGGACUUCGGAUCGGAGAGCGCUGUUAGUAGGCAAGAAGAUAUGUGUAAGUUACUGGGCACAUCUUGACGGUACCUAAGCAGAAAGCCACGGCUAACUACGUG